CCUUCCUAGCCCGUAUAGUUCUGCGUUCGUGUGAUCGUCGUGCCGAGUUCUGUUUGUGCGGUCGACUUUUAACGCGCUGCCUCGCAUUGUGUGUAUUGUGUGUUGUAUUUCGUGGUUACUGACGUAAGCGCAACUAUACGCGGUACCAGGCAAAUAGUCACCAGAUGCCGACCGUGCGACUUCAAUCUCUGCGACUGCUUUGUUCGGUGUGACCGACGGACGCGAUUCAUAGUUUUGAAGAACACCUUCAAAUGUUUCCGCACGUCAGUGAGUAGCAGCGCCGCAAUCCUUUGUCGACGACGCGUUCUGUCGCCCUGGAAAAUGCUUUGACGCUCGGGUACGGCCGGUAGCUCGGCGAUUCCUCGCUUGGCGCACCAUUGGAAACCGGCGGUCAUCUAGCAGUGUACGCUGCCAGCUUUUUUGCAACGUACUGCAGGUAGCAAACAGCAGUGCCUCGACAAACAGUGGAGUGCUGACCAUGCAGUCCAGAAGGUGGCUGAGGCAAGUAUGCUAUAGGAGGUGCUUAUUCAGGCAGAAGAAAUAAGCAUCUGUAGCCAACGUAAAGGAAGCAUCUUCAAAAAGCAGUGCUACAAGGAUGUGAGCAGCAGUUUCCCUUUAACGAACGGGUCAAAUUCAUGGAAGCCACGUGCCUGCUGCUUCUGGCCUACACAAACAUGCAGCCACCAUAGUAAAGUUCUUGCAAAGACAUUCUACACGAACUUGCCCAAAGGCGGAAGGAAGGCACGCACAGAUGGACGCACACAGAUCAUGGGGCUGCCGUAGAAGCUGUGAAUGAGCAUUAACCUACGUACAGAAAGGAGCGAAGUGGAGCUGUCCAUGGGCCGUGCACACAAUUUCAUAAGCAGGCUUGCAACACUUUUGACAAAUAUGUUCCUGAAUACAUCUGCCAAAGUGGCAUUUAAAGAAGCAUGUAGUAGUGUACUUCACUGUUUAUUUGGCAUGAAGCAGCAGGUAUGCUUCCGUCAUCAGCAAGUUCACACAGUACAGUGCAUCUACACAUGGCAUGCUACCCCCACAUCUACCAGCUCGGGAUGUGUAGCUUGAUUGUAAAAUGUUUACUUUGACUUAACACAACAAUUAUUAACAAAAUGACAUGAAAGUUUUGCCAUCUAUGCAGGCGACAUUCUCAGUAUACG